GACGAACGCUGGCGGCGUGCUUAACACAUGCAAGUCGAACGGAAAGGCCCUGCUUUUGUGGGGUGCUCGAGUGGCGAACGGGUGAGUAACACGUGAGUAACCUGCCCUUGACUUUGGGAUAACUUCAGGAAACUGGGGCUAAUACCGGAUAGGAGCUCCUGCUGCAUGGUGGGGGUUGGAAAGUUUCGGCGGUUGGGGAUGGACUCGCGGCUUAUCAGCUUGUUGGUGGGGUAGUGGCUUACCAAGGCUUUGACGGGUAGCCGGCCUGAGAGGGUGACCGGCCACAUUGGGACUGAGAUACGGCCCAGACUCCUACGGGAGGCAGCAGUGGGGAAUACUGCACAAUGGGCGGGAGCCUGAUGCAGCAACGCCGCGUGCGGGAUGACGGCCUUCGGGUUGUAAACCGCUUUCGCCUGUGACGAAGCGUGAGUGACGGUAAUGGGUAAAGAAGCACCGGCUAACUACGUG
rnacentral:rRNA from 1 species